rnacentral:lncRNA from 1 species
CUGCUGUGGCUCCCAGAUCCACUGCCUGCUGUUCCCUGUCCUGUUUUGUGCAUUUCCCAGGCUCUCUUACCUUCUGGCUUCUGGAUCCCUGAUCCCUGAGUAUUUAUGCCAGCUAAGGGGAAGGACAAGGAUGCAGGGGUCUAGGUUGCCCUUGGAGUCUGCCCUUCCCUCCCCCUUCAGUUUGCCCACACUAGUGAGGGCAGGGCACUGCCUUGUCCCACUCCGUAUCUCUUCUUCACCCAGCCCUAUUGCCCCCAUCAAGAGACACCCCUCGGCAGUGGAGUCAGGUAUGGCCGAGUCCAAGGCUGCCCCACCCACAGUGAUGGAAGAGGUGAAGGAGAAGGGUCAGCUCAUGGCCAGCUCAGAGGCCUCAGGAAGGGUGGUGGAGAGCAGCAGAGGAGCCCCUCCACUCGGGUCUCUCUCUCCAGAUGACCUUGACCCAGCACAGUGGGCCUAUCCUAAAAAAACGGGCCCCAGAGAGGGGCAAAGGGCGUGGGGUGAAGGACACAGGCAAGGGGCAAGGAUUAAAGGCAGCAAAGUACUUGGGAAACUAGAGAAUUUCUCUAGCUUUUGCCUUUAGCCAAUGGCACCAUCCUGGUGCCGCCACCUGAAACCCAUGGGGGUCUCCACCACUUUGGCCUGCAUGUUUUCCACAAGCUGAGCCACCUCUUCCCUAGGGGGCAAGGGGAAUAAGAGGAAGGUUUGUUCAAGAGCUGCCCCUGGCCAGGAAGUGGAAAGACCCCUCCAGCUGGGCCAGGUGAGGUAGAGCAGAGGGGUUCCCUCUCUAAUUGCUCUUAAUUUCUAUGAUUUGCAGGUCUCAGGCUCAUGGAGGGCCCAUUCCCCAUUGUGAUGGACGGGCAGGCACAGUCAGCCUGUUGAGUCAGCCGCUGCAGGCUCUGACUUGGCCCGGCUGGGUCCUGCAAGGUAUAGGGCACCCACCUCUCUCCUCCUCUUCCUGGGCCCAAUCCAGAACCCUGGGCCACAAGCCCCCACUGAAGCUCCGUCCUUUCUCCUGUUUCACCUUUGCAGGAGGGUCCCGCAGCCC